AUUUGACUAAACAUGGCUUCCCUAGACGCAGGCAUUGAGGAGAGAGUUUAUAAAUUAUGGAUGGCGAAUUACAAAUCGAAGGUGAACUUCCUUCAGCAGCACCUGGCGGAUCUCCUGACACAAAAGAAAGCCCUCCACUCUCGGGUUGUAGCGGAGGAAUUCCACAAGUUCAAACUCACUUCUAGUAGGGUCAUCAGCGGUGAUGCAACGGCUGCCGAGGUUCGCCAAACUCUUACAGGACUGGAAAAGGCACUGAAAAAGGAAGGACUAUUCAAAAACGUGAAAUCGGGAUUCAUUCACCUCAAGAAAGAAUUUCUCUCUAGUUCUAGCAGUAAGGCAAUCAGUAAACCGCCAUCAGACCCACAGACAGACAAACCAAAGCGCUCCACCACCUCCGUGAUAGCGGACCACAAGAAGGAGAGAAGAAUACAAACAGUGGAAAAGGACAACGAUGAGGUGAAGAACCUCAACAAAGCUGUCGGACGUCUGUUUGAAAACCUCAAAAUACAAAAACUGUCCGAAAUAGCGCGGGAAAGCACGGGCCUCGCUAUUACACACGACCGCUCCCCUACCAUGAUGACGAAAAAGCCCGACGACUCCGAUGACUUUAAAGAAAUUAUCAAAAAAGUCCGAGGAUUGGAGAUGGAGUUGUUGCGCCAGAAGGCAUCACAGUCCUCAGAGCUAAAACGGUUGGCUGAAGAAAACACCGGCCUACGUCACACGAUAUCGGAGCUGCGACGGGAACAAGAAAGAGUAAAGGGACUGCAGCCAAUAACAAAAACAGCAAAGGAUAAACAAGUAGAGAAACUAGAAGAACAGUACAACAAACAAAAGAAAGGGAUGGAGGGCAAGAUUGUAGAACUUGAAUCAGAAUUAGAGGAAAACCUCAAUACCACGCUGCGAGAAAAGGCGGAGCUGGAACAGAUGAUAGUGGACGGGGUGUCCAAACUGAAGGCCUCCAUUACCGCCCUCCACCGUCGACUCUGCGCAGACGCGAAUCUCAGCGAGCGCACGAGGACCACUCUGACGCUGAAUGGCGCCACAGACGAGAGGAAGAACAUCGACAUUCUCAUCAACAAGAUCAUCCAGAUCGAGGAGAGCGCCGACCUGCUGGAGGAGAAGAACAGAGAACUGGGGAUGUAAGCACCACUCGCGUGCAUACACAUAUUUGUAUACACUAUAAUAACAGUUUAAUAAAUUGACAAGCUGGUGAGCUACAUGUGCAUAUAUGUAUAAAGCAAACAGAUGUUAUGAGAUGAGGAAACACAAAUUUAUUGUUCAUUACCUUUACAAUAAAUGAAUGAGGAAUUUGUCGCACAGUCACAUGUCUUCAGAAUUAAGAAAGGAAGAUUAACUUGGCAAAAUUGAUAUUGGUUUUUGGUAGUUGAAAUGUAGCAUCUUUACAAGUGCCUCCUUAAAAACCGAAGUGCUAAUAUAACAGGGCUCAUUCACUUUCUAUUUGAUUUGUUCCAUCUUGUCGCAGUUAAUAAAUCGUUAUUUUGCUGUAAAGAAAGUAGAAAUAGCUAAAAGCAAAUUGGAUAGAUGUAGUAGUAAUUCCUUGGUAAAUGACAAAAAAGGUUCAUCAGCAGAACUUUCUUAUGAAUAAAUGGACAAAUUUUUCACAGGACAGUUAUGCUUUUUUGCAGUUGGGAAUAAGACUUGCUUUGUUAGUUUUUAUUGUUCAUCCACCAUUUGAUGUUUGCAAAGGAUUGUUUUUCAUUUUUUUAUAUGCACAAUUAUCCGGAACUACAGGGUUCAAUAGUUAUAUGUUCUGGUAUUGCAAAUGUACAUUGUAGGAUUCUAAUAGAAAAAGAUGAUGAAAUCGGUAAACUGAGAAACUCUUUGAUUGAAAUUUCGGAGGAAGUGAGUAAAAUGCACGGUUCACUGACUACUCUGGAGAAGAGUCCUACAGCGUCCAAAGAGGACAGAACUAGCAGGGAGCUGGACACUCACGAAACCAGGGCCGUCAUCUCUAAACUCCAGCAUGUCCACACAAGCAUACAACAGUACAAACGAAUUUUGUUGGAGAAAGAAAGAAGUACAGUUAGUCCAAAGAACAACGAUGAUCUAAUUACAUUAAAACACCAGAUAAACAGGUUGUACGAGGAUUUCGUAGAAGAUGGGGACGGGUCCACUGACAUGGAAAAAUCGACCGGGUCAUUGCAGAACGACACUCCAAAAACCCAACGCGAGAGAACAAACGAAAUAAACCAGCUACUACAGAAACUGAGCCGGGUGGAGAAAGCCUUCAAUAGCCUCAGAGCAGGUCCUGGGUCCCACACGAGUAGCAGUUCGCCCCAGGACUUGGAGCAGAGUUAGGAACUCUUGGUACCCCCCCCCCCCCCUCCUGACAACGUGGAAGAAACUUUGUCUUUCUUCCUUAUAAAUACAUUGUACUUUUCGUAAUUACCAACAUCCGACAUAUUUUUUAAAGAACAAUCAAAUAUGAUAACUUUACUGAAUGCAUAUUUGGAUCCCUUAUAAAUAUCUCGUAACAUGUUGAGGAUAUUUUAGGUAUCUAAGGACAAUCGUUAUUAAAUAACGCAAUUCAGUUAUACAUUUACAAUUCAUUGGUCUGGUUCAUUAUUGUUCAAUCUGUCCUAUCCUUAAGUGCAUACAUUGUUUUGUUCUUUGUAUAUGCAGCAUGGUUAAUGCUGCAUAGAUAGCCCUUAACUACCAGACAAGGAUGGUUUCGAAUAUAAUGAAUCUUGGAUAAUAGUAUUUGGGGUUCCAAAAAAACUCAAUUGAAAUCAUCUGCUUAUCUUGACUUUUGUAAAUAAUAUAAUGUGUUACUGAUGUAUUUGUCUGAUUGUGUUAAUUAUACAUGUACAUAACAUCAUUUAUAGAAAAGUUGUUAUUGGGAUAGUUCGCAAAGAACUAAAGUAUUGUUGUUACAAAUAUUGUUGUUAUUUUGACAAAUGUAAAACGCAAAUAAACAAAGCUGUAAAAU
rnacentral:misc_RNA from 1 species